rfam:Candidatus Caedibacter acanthamoebae plasmid Plasmid_00001, complete sequence.
UUGAGCCGAAUGCGGGGAAACUCGCCUGUUCGGUUCUUAGGGGAGGGAACGGCAGUAAUGCCAUUCUCUUACCCGAC